rnacentral:rRNA from 1 species
ACGAAGGCUGGCGGCAUGCCUAACACAUGCAAGUCGAACGAGACCUUCGGGUCUAGUGGCGCACGGGUGCGUAACGCGUGGGAACCUGCCCUUAGGUUCGGAAUAACUCCCCGAAAGGGGUGCUAAUACCGGAUAAUGUCUUCGGACCAAAGAUUUAUCGCCUUUGGAUGGGCCCGCGUUGGAUUAGCUAGUUGGUAGGGUAAAAGCCUACCAAGGCGACGAUCCAUAGCUGGUCUGAGAGGAUGAUCAGCCACACUGGGACUGAGACACGGCCCAGACUCCUACGGGAGGCAGCAGUGGGGAAUAUUGGACAAUGGGCGAAAGCCUGAUCCAGCAAUGCCGCGUGAGUGAUGAAGGCCUUAGGGUUGUAAAGCUCUUUUACCCGGGAUGAUAAUGACAGUACCGGGAGAAUAAGCUCCGGCUAACUCCGUG